rnacentral:rRNA from 1 species
GAUGAACGCUAGCGGCAGGCCUAACACAUGCAAGUCGAGGGGGAGGUUACUUUCGGGUAACUGAGACCGGCGUACAGGUGCGUAACGCGUAUACAAUCUGCCUUUCACUGGGGGAUAGCCCGAAGAAAUUUGGAUUAAUACCCCAUAGUAUAUAGAGACGGCAUCGUUUUUAUAUUAAAGCUUAGGUGGUGAAAGAUGAGUAUGCGUUCUAUUAGCUAGUUGGAGAGGUAACGGCUCCCCAAGGCGAUGAUAGAUAGGGGUUCUGAGAGGGAUGUCCCCCACACUGGUACUGAGAUACGGACCAGACUCCUACGGGAGGCAGCAGUGAGGAAUAUUGGACAAUGGUCGGAAGACUGAUCCAGCCAUGCCGCGUGCAGGAUGAAGGUCUUAUGGAUUGUAAACUGCUUUUGUAAGGGAAGAAUAAGGAGUACGUGUACUUUGAUGACGGUACCUUACGAAUAAGCAUCGGCUAACUCCGUGCCAGCAGCCGCGGUAAUACGGAGGAUGCGAGCAUUAUCCGGAAUCAUUGGGUUUAAAGGGUCUGUAGGCGGGCUUGUAAGUCAGAGGUGAAAGCGCUUAGCUCAACUAAGCAACUGCCUUUGAAACUGUCAGUCUUGAAUGAUUGUGAAGUAGUUGGAAUGUGUAGUGUAGCGGUGAAAUGCUUAGAUAUUACACAGAACACCGAUAGCGAAGGCAUAUUACUAACAAUUUAUUGACGCUGAUGGACGAAAGCGUGGGGAGCGAACAGG